rnacentral:rRNA from 1 species
CAGUAGCCGCGGGAAUACAGAGGUCUCAAGCGUUGUUCGGAUUCAUUGGGCGUAAAGGGAGCGUAGGCGGUCGGGUAAGUUGGAUGUGAAAUCCUGGGGCUCAACCUCAGAACUGCAUUCAAUACUGCUUGGCUAGAGUACUGGAGAGGUGAGUGGAAUUCACGGUGUAGCAGUGAAAUGCGUAGAUAUCGUGAGGAAGACCAGCGGCGAAGGCGGCUCACUGGACAGUUACUGACGCUGAUGCUCGAAGGCUAGGGGAGCAAGCGGGAUUAGAUACCCGCGUAGUCCCUGUCUCUUAUAU